rnacentral:rRNA from 1 species
UUGUAAAGUUCUUUUACGAGGGAUAAUUAUGAUAGUACUUCGUGAAUAAGUGACAGCAAACUAUGUGCCAGCAGCUGCGGUAAUACAUAGGUCGCGAGCAUUAUUCGGAUUUAUUGGGCGUAAAGCAAGCGCAGGCGGAUGUGUAAGUUCUGUGUUAAAUGCAGCUACUCAAUAGUUGUAUGCACCGAAUACUACAUGUCUAGAUUGUGGUAGGGAGUUUCGGAAUUAAGCAUGGAGCGGUGGAAUGUGUAGAUAUGCUUAAGAACACCAGAGGCGAAGGCGGAAACUUAGGCCAUAAAUGACGCUUAGGCUUGAAAGUGUGGGGAGCAAAUGGGAUUAGAUACCCCAGUAGUCCACACCGUAAACGAUGGGUAUUAGAUAUUAGGGCUUUAGCUUUAGUGUUGUAGCUUACGAAUUAAAUACCCCGCCUGGGUAGUACAUAUGCAAAUAUGAAACUCAAAGGAAUUGACGGGGACCUGAACAAGUGGUGGAGCAUGUUGCUUAAUUCGAUAAUACACG